UGGGGAAUAUUGCACAAUGGGGGAAACCCUGAUGCAGCGACGCCGCGUGAGCGAAGAAGGUUUUCGAAUCGUAAAGCUCUGUCCUAUGAGAAGAUAAUGACGGUAUCAUAGGAGGAAGCCCCGGCUAAAUACGUGCCAGCAGCCGCGGUAAUACGUAUGGGGCGAGCGUUGUCCGGAAUUAUUGGGCGUAAAGGGUACGUAGGCGGUCUAUUAAGUCAGGUGUGAAAGCGUGAGGCUUAACCUCAUUAAGCACUUGAAACUGAUAGACUUGAGUGAAGGAGAGGAAAGUGGAAUUCCUAGUGUAGCGGUGAAAUGCGUAGAUAUUAGGAGGAAUACCGGUGGCGAAGGCGACUUUCUGGACUUUAACUGACGCUCAGGUACGAAAGCGUGGGGAGCAAACAGG
rnacentral:rRNA from 1 species